rnacentral:rRNA from 1 species
ACGAACGCUGGCGGCUGCUUAACACAUGCAAGUCGAACGGAGUGGCGAACGGGUGAGUAACGCGUGACAAACCUGCCUCUGACAGUGGGAUAGCCUCGGGAAACCGGGAUUAAUUACGCAUAUUCAUAGAUUGGCUCGCGUCUGAUUAGCUAGUUGGUGAGAUAACAGCCCACCAAGGCGACGCUCAGUAGCCGGUGUGAGAGGAUGAACGGCCACAUUGGAAAUGGGACACAGUCCAAACUCCCACGGGAGGCAGCAGUGGGGAAUAUUGCACAAUGGGGGAAACCCUGAUGCAGCGACGCCGCGUGAACGAAGAAGGUAUUCGUAUCGUAAAGUUCUGUCCUAUGGGAAGCAGUACCAUAGAAGAAAGCUCCGGCUAAAUACGUGCCAGCCGCCGCGGUAAUAC